GGCGGCAGGCCUAACACAUGCAAGUCGGGCGGUAACAGGGAGUGCUUGCACUUCGCUGACGAGCGGCGGACGGGUGAGUAAUGCAUAGGAAUCUGCCUGGUAGUGGGGGAUAGCCCAGAGAAAUUUGGAUUAAUACCGCAUACGCCCUACGGGGAAAGCAGGGGGGAUCUUCGGACCUUGCGCUAUCAGAUGAGCCUAUGUCGGAUUAGCUUGUUGGUGAGGUAACGGCUCACCAAGGCGACGAUCCGUAGCUGGUCUGAGAGGAUGAUCAGCCACACUGGGACUGAGACACGGCCCAGACUCCUACGGGAGGCAGCAGUGGGGAAUAUUGGACAAUGGGCGCAAGCCUGAUCCAGCCAUGCCGCGUGUGUGAAGAAGGCCUUCGGGUUGUAAAGCACUUUCAGCGAGGAGGAAAGGAUGGUUGCUAAUAUCAGCCGUCUGUGACGUUACUCGCAGAAGAAGCACCGGCUAACUCCGUG
rnacentral:rRNA from 1 species